GACGAACGCUGGCGGCGUGCCUAAUACAUGCAAGUCGAACGCAGUGGGGACGGGUGAGUAACACGUGGGUAACCUCCCAUCAGACGGGGUAACACUUGGCAACAGGUGCUAAACCGAUACUGAUGGAUGAACCCGCGGUGCAUUAGCUAGUUGUUGAGGUAACGGCUCACCAAGGCCACGAUGCAUAGCCGAUCUGAGAGGGUGAUCGGCCACACUGGGACUGAGACACGGCCCAGACUCCUACGGGAGGCAGCAGUAGGGAAUAUUCGGCAAUGGACGAAAGUCUGACCGAGCAACGCCGCGUGAGUGAAGAAGGUUUUCGGAUCAUAAAACUCUGUUGGUAGAGAAGCGGUAGCUAACGAGAAAGCCACGGCUAACUACGUGCCAGCAGCCGCGGUAAUAC
rnacentral:rRNA from 1 species